rnacentral:misc_RNA from 1 species
UUAAGUUCAGCGGGUCUUCCUACCUGAUCCGAGGUCAACCUUGGGUAAAUAAGGCUUUUAACGGCCGGAACCCGCAGCACGCCCUGAGCGAGAUGUAACUACUACGCUCGGAGUGACUAGCGAGCCCGCCACUGGUUUUCAGGGCCUGCGGCAGCCGCAGGGCUCCAACACAAGCAUAGGGGCUUGAUGGUUGAAAUGAC